UGCUGGAACUUGCUUUCACCCUGGUGAAGCCUGUUGAGGAGGACCCUGGGGCAGCUCUCUCCUGGGGCUGAGCACAGCCAGGGCGUUGGCUCCCCGGCCUUCCUUGUGUUUGCUUCCUUCUCAGUUUAGCUUCCAACUCUCGCUUACUGAGUCCAGCAACACACUGCCUUUGAUGGUUCCAAUUUUCUCUUAACCCACACCGCAGUGGCAUAGACAGCAAAGUGGCUGGCUGAGGAGGCAGCAUUGGAGAAGCAGUUAGAAAUAAAAACCCAGAGCUCUGAGUGGCAGCUCCAGAGAGCUAUUUAGGAGUAGGUGCCUGUAUAACGUAGAGUGACCGAGGCUGGUGUCCUGUCUGUGUGGUCAACAGAUGUAGACCACUUGCUUCAUUGCUCUUAAAACUGGAGUGCUGCUCUCUACUGCUCAGUGUGACGAAUACCAGCUGUAUUAUUAAGUGCCUCACAA